UGGCGUCUUGCCCAAGGUCAUGAUCUACUAAGUGGUGGAGCCAGUCUGAGCCCACACACUCUGGCUCCAGAGUCCCUGCUGUAAACAUCAUAUGAUUCUGUGCAAUAAUGCUAUUGUGUCUAAUAACACCCAACUCAUGUCAGCAGACCUAAGUAAGCACAUUUACCAAACUAUAAAGCAAAAAUUCCCCGACUAUAUGGUUUAUCUCUCAGUUCCUUCAUCUGUAAAAUGUCCUCAUGUAAAUUAGGUUGCUAUUUCUAUACAUGGUGCUAAAGAUAAAUUUUUCCUACUCUCCUUCCCCCAAACACAUAAUUUCAAUUGUUUUAAAAACAAGGAGUUCCUGUUGUAGCUUAGCGGUGAAACUGACUAGUAUCCACGAGGACGUGGGUUUGAUCCCUGGCCUCAAUCAGUGGAUUAAGGAUCCAGUGUUGCCAUGAGCUGUGGUGCAGGUCACAAACACAGUUUGGAUCCUGCGUGGCUGUGGCUUUAGCUGUGACAUAGGCUGACAGCUGUAUCUCUGAUUUGACCCUUAGUCUGGGAACUUCCAUAUGCUGUGGGUGUGGCCUUAAAAAGACAAAAAUAAAUAAAUAAAUAAAACCACAUCUUUCAUUCAAAUUUCAUGGUGGGUUCUGUGCUACUAAGAUCCCUGUGGUCUUAAAUGUUUCUUUAGGGUUUUAGCUGAUGGGGUUUAGUCCUCAUGGUCCCUUGCAUGCACUGUGCCCUUGUGGUUUCUUCCAUUCUGGCAUGUAUCCUCCCUGUCCACCCAACUCACCCAUAUGUAUAAGAUUCUACCUGGCCCCUUCCUCCAUGAAUUCCCACUUUGAACCCUCCUUUGUCCUAAGGUGAAAACAAGCUGUUGUAUUCCACCAACAAGCAUUUCUGAGCCUUUCUUAGGUGCCUAGAAUGAUUCUAGACCAGGAUUUCUCAACCACAGCACUAUUGACACUUGGGGUUGUGUGAUAUUCCAUUCUGUGUGUCAACUUGACUGUACCCACAGGUACCCACAUUGGUCAAACAUUAUUCUGGAUGUCUCUAUGAGAGUGUCUUUGGAUGAAAUUAGUAUUUAAAUUGGUGAACUUUGGGUAAAGCAGAUUGCCCUCCCUAGUGUUGGGUGGGCCUCAUCCAAGAGCUGAAGGCCUUAAUGGCACAAAAGGCUUACCCUUCCCUGAGUAAGAGAGAAUCACCUUGAAUGAUGGCUUUUGAACUGGGACAUUGAUUGGAUCUUCUUGGUUCUUUAGUAGCCUGCUGACCUUCAGACUAAAACUGGGACAUUAGCUCUGCAGAUUUUGGUCUUCCAGCCUCCAUAUGACUAUGAGCCAACUCCUUAUAAUAAGUGCCUGCCUGUCUGUCUAUCUAUGUAUCUGAAUAUAUGUAUUAAUAUAUUAAUUAUGUAUAUAUUUAUAUGUCACAUGUUUAUAAAUAAAUUAUAUAAAUAUUACAGAAGAAUAAAAUAUACAUAAAUAUAAAUUAUAUAGUCAGUCGAUUUCUCUGAAGGAUGCUAAUUCAGGCAAGGUAAUUCUUUAUUGAGAGGCUUUCCUGCUUUUUGAUUAUUUAGCAGCAUCCCGCCCUCUACCCACUUGGUGCCAAGUAGCACCCAACACAGUCCAAUGGUGACAAUCAAAAUGUGUCCAGAAACUGCCAGUGUCCCCUGGGGUACAAAAUUACCUUGGUUGAGAACCCCCAUUCUAGGCAUGUGGCAGAACUCAGUGGAAGCUCCUGCUGGUACUCCUGCUGCUAAGGAUCUGACAGUCUGCUUAGGAUCUCACAGUCAGCUUAGGACGUAGCAUUAAGAAUCAGGGAUCAUUAUGGAACAAUUAACUUGUGAAACAUUCUGCAAUCUAAUUUUUGCUGGACUUGUGACUCUCUUUGGGGGGAAAGGAGUAGAAAGAAAUUGAAGCAACAUUUAUAGAAAAUGUGGAAGAUUUCUUUCAUUGGAGGAGAAUCACAUGGAAUAGGAAGAAAAGCUGUAGCACUUUACCCUGUUUGUCCCAGGUAAGUGUAAUUCUGAAGGAGUUAUUACUUUUCAAGGACUGAAAGAUUUGUUAAUGAGAGAAAAAUCACCCAUAUGCCUCAGCUCUGCCGACUAGGUCUAGUGGGCAGCAAAUCUUCUGUGCAAUUCCCCUUAUAAAUUCCACUUGAGUCCUGAUAGUUUUGAGGGAUUAAGUGAUUCUUCAAAUGAAUCCAUAACCCAUUGUUGGCCCUGGACACAUUUAAUAACAGAAUUCUGGGAGAGUAAGAUUAAGAGACACAAUCCUUCAGUCUUUCUCCAAACAGUUUUAUUACUGAAAUGAUUCAUGCAUUGGGAGUUACUGAAAUUGAUCAUUUGUAAUUUAUAUUCUUUGCAGACAGAGAUUUGAGGUUACUUUCUUUAGUUAUUCAAUGUCAGUUGUCCAAUGAAAGUUGCCAGUUGUUCAGUGAAAAUUUCGUUCAAUUCUCUAAGAAAUUCCCUGUCCUGAAAACAUUCUGAAGCCUGCAGGGUGUUGAGCGGUAACUUAGGCCUGGUUUUAGCAAGCUGUGUGUGGCUGAAUAUAUGAAGCAUUAAAACUAAACUGAGACACCAUGUGGCAAUCAAUAACAAUACAUUAUGUGCUGAACGGUAAGAUUUAAUAAUAACUUAGCCUUACACCCAGAGUCAGGACCCAAGUCAAGUUGGGGAGGGCACAACCAGGGAUAGAAGCCUUUCAGCUGGAUUCAGGAAUAGCAUCUCACAGGACUGGAUGCUGGAGCUGACCUGGGCGCCUGGGACAGAAUUCAGAGCUGAGCUCAAGCACUUCUGCUCUCCUUUCAGCUAUGGUCAUCCGUGAAGUGAAACUGAUGUAAAAAGGGUUGAUUUCUGCCUCACCAAGCAGCAGAGCCAUUGGUCUUGUAGAGAGUUGGGGGUGAUGGGGUUUAACCCCUCAUUUUGUAGGUGAGGAAUUGCAGGUCCAAAGUGGUGAUGUGAUCAUAAUAAUAACAGUAAAAUUAACUCAUGUGUAGUGUUAUUUGUCUGCCAGACACUCAGCUGAAUAUGCUCUGUGGGCAUUUUGUUUUCUCUCUGAGGUAGACAAUGUUCUGAUCCCGUCAUUACAGACGAGGAAACUGGGAGUCAGAAAGUUUUAAUUGUCCCAAAUUAAACACUUAAAGUUAAGAGCUGAUGGUACUCAAAUCUAGUACUCCCCCCUUUGGCAGGCUGAUGCUUUUUUCACUUUGCUGCUGAAUUUGCUCAUCUGUAAAGUCUCUUUCAUUCCUUCACUUCCUUCCCUCCCUCCCUUCCACACGGGGCACUGAGACUGGACCAGACUCUGGAAAGGAGCUUCCACAGUCCAGAGCUAUUGGCCAGUGGGAGAGGCCAGUCUAGGAGAGAUGAACAUAGGAGUUAACAUUUCUUAGUCUAAUCUUUCUCAAAGGAAACGUGUGAAGAAGGGGGCCUGGACCCAGAUGGGAUAGCCAUUGGUGGCCACGAGGCCUGCCUGAACAGGGCAAAGGGCCAGGCUGAUGCUGGAUGACCAUCACUAGGGUUAUUUCUCCUCAGGUGACUGAGAGCCAUGGAUGUGGGCAGAUGAAAUGACCUUGGCCUGCAGAGAAAGGAGUUUAGUUCCAUUGGACACUAUAGUUGGUCUUUCUUGAAUUUAAAAGGGAAUGAAAUAGUAUAGAAGGUAGGCUCUCCUUGGAGGCCUCAGAGGCAGAGUGGUACAGCCUUGGGAGGUACCUGGGGUUUGGCUUUGUCAGGAUGCCAGUGUUCCUGUUUUGUCAUCACCCAUUCACUUGCCCAUCUGUCCUAGCAGGCUGUGAGCGAUUAGUGACUAGGAAUGGUAUCUCAUUCCUUUCAUCUCAAAUGUCAAGAUGGAGUCCUAUUGUGGUGCAGUGGAAAUAAAUCCAUCUACUAUCCAUGAGGAUGAGGGUUCAAUCCUUGGCCUCGCUCAGUGGGUUAAGGAUCUGGAGUUGCCACGAGUUGUGGUGUAGGUCGCAGAUGCAGCUUGGAUCCUGUUUUGCUGCAGCUGUGGCGUAGGCUGGCAGCUGUAGCUCUGAUUCAACCCCUAGCCUGGGAACUUCCAUAUGCUGCAGGUGCGGCCCUAGAAAGCAAAAAAUAAAAUAAAUCAAGAUCAUGCCUGGCCUGCUUUGUACUCAUUGGGUAUUUGUUGAAUAAUUGGGAGAUCCUCAGUCUAGCAGUGACUAGAAGUUGGGCUUUGUGAGUUGUAGUUAGAGUUUAUGUGGACCAGGGAAACUGACUGGGGUGAAGUGAACCUGAAUGAUAUAUAAAUACAGCAACUGUAUGUCCCAGAUUUUUUGGAACAGACCCAGUUUCAAACAUUCUCUCCAAUCUUUCCUAUAAGUACACAUUUAUCUGUCAGGCCAGGUGCUCUGAUAUUUUGGUUUGGAAAAUAUCGACAGUGCAGCCAAGAUGCUAGUUUGUUAUCUCACCAUGGUUGGACUAUUAAGAUCUGUGUUUUCCUGGGUGUCAGAGACUUGAAACCUUGAAUGAGCGAUGAGAAGGCUGUGUGGUGAGCAUGGAUGCAGCAGAGCUAUGGGUUUAUUUAAUUACUAUCUUUUCUGACCUAUUUCUGAUAUGUAGGCAUAUCAGUCAGGGUUCUCCAGAGAAACAGAACCAGUAGGAUAUAUUUCAAGGAAUUUGCUUACACAACUGUGGGGGUUGGCAGGUCUCAAACCUGUAGGGAAGGUUGGCAGCCUGAAACUCUUUGGUGGGAACUAAUGUUGCAGUCUUGAGAGAGAAUUUCUUUUUCCUCAGGGAAAUCUCAGUUUUACUCUUUAGGCCUUUCAGCUGAUUAGAUGAGGCCCACCCACAUUAUCAGGGGCCAUCUCCUUUACUUAAGGUCAACUGAUUGGAUGUUAACUACAUCUACAAAAUACCUUCACAGCAACACAUAUAUUAGUGCUUGAUUAAAUCCCUGGGCACUAUAGCUUCAUCAGGUUAAUAAAAAACUAAGUAUCAUAGCAAGUGGAAUACGAAUUGACCACAUCUUGUCCCAAAAGGAUAAGAGAAAAGAAUGAUAGCGGGUUUGGACAUACUCUAGCAAGUGUGGGAAAAGGAUUAUCUGAUAAGGUGCUCUUCUGCUUCUGGAAGAGGGGCAGCCACAAGCCUUUUGACCAGUGAGAGCUAGUAAGAGCUGGAAAGUGUCCCCACAAAGGCACUGCUGCUCUUUCCCCAGGAAGGAGGAAUGUUGCAAUAAUAUCUCUCAUUCUCCUUAGCUUCCUUUCCCUCUUCCAUGGGAGGGGGGACCUGACUGGAUUGGUGUUGGAAGAGGCAAUCUGCAAUGAGCCCUGAGAAUCUCUAAAUGCUCUUCCUGUGUCAGCCAUGAAUUCAAGAGCCUGAGUGCUCUUUACUCAGGCCAUUACUCACGGUCGCAUUGGCAGCAGCACCCUUGAUAAAGGAGGUGACAACUCUCCCUGGAUGAAGAGCAGACUUGCCUCCACAUGCUAUUAAAGUGGCAAAACGCCCAAGCUCUGACUUCUCUCCUGUAAUAAUCCUCUUCAUGUUCAGUCAGGGUCCAUCUAGAAACAUCUGCAUUUUCCCUGUGGGACCUACAGGGAAACUGGCAUGACCAUCAUGCUGACACUCUGGCUACUGCAUUUUCUGUGAGUGGUGAAGUGCUUUGUCUCUGAUCCAGGAGUCUCAUAUCUUCUUGUCAGAAUCCAUGGAACAGGUGCCGGCUGGCUUGUUAGCUUGCAAGUAGGGUAGAACCUCAGACCCUCUACAAUUCUUGCUUGACAGAAAGAGGCCUCGAUUCCCUGCAGGCAACAAGUCUUUGUUUCACAUUCCUAGCCUUUACUGCCUCCUCCAUGCCAUGGGGGUCUUGGAGACUAAACUCUCCCUACCCCAGGAUCUCAUUGCAGGAGGUAAUUGUAGACCUGUCUUGACUUUCCAUCUCCAUCAUUAAGGAAGCUGCUGUAUUGAUUCCUCAGUGGGCUAUUCCCAAGUGGUUUAGAAUCUGGAGGGGGCAAGAGGGAAACAUCUAGGGUCUUCUGGAAACCUCAACAGGUAUUGAGUGCCAGGCUCUAUGCUAGGAACUGGGAAUGCCACAGUGAGGAAGAAAGGUCUCUGCUCCCUUGGAGCUUGGAGUUUAGUAGGACAAGGGAGCCUGCAGAGAUAUAAGAAGGUAAUACAUGAGUUCCUGUCAUGGCUCAGCAGUUAGCAAACCUGACUGGCAUCCAUGAGGAUGUGGGUUUGAUCCCUGGUCUCACUCAAAGGGUUAAGGAUUUGGUAUUGGUGUGAGCUGUGGUAUAGCUCAGAUCCAGCGUUGCUGUGGCGUAGGCUGGCAGCUGCAGCUCGGAUUGGACCCCUAGCUUGGGAACCUCCAUAUGCUGAAAAAAAAAAA
rnacentral:lncRNA from 1 species